GCAUAUGUCUUGAAAACAUAAGAAAGAAGUAAAGUCUUCUAUUAAUUU
rnacentral:tRNA from 1 species